CUCUGAACUAUCAGGAAAAUACUAGUCAUUUUAAAAACAAGCAGAAAAACUAAUUCUCCUUUUAAUAUCUGCAGUUAAGAUCACCUAUGCUUUGAAACAAUUUCAGAAUCGUUUGAGAGGACAAAGCUGAGAAAGAAGCAUGACAAUCUGUUAAACGGUUACAUGAAGCAUUAGUGAUGGAAGAGAACUACUAAUUUUUAAAAAAACAAGGCAAGGAGUUUAUGUGUCUUCAUCUGUCAAAUGAUGGCUUAGAGAACCACAGUGUUUCAAGAAAGAUACGUUUUAGCAUCAAGGUGCUUGAAGAGGGCACAGAAAUCAUCUGCCCAGUCCCUUUAACUCCAGUCUGAAAAUAUGCAAAGGGAUACUUGAGGGAAGAAUUAGAGACAAAGUCUCCUUCCUUGGAGCUCCACAUUUUCCUGUGUCUUUCUUUUUCAUUGUCACAAGUUCCGAUGGCCCCUCCUGUUGAAGGAAGAGCGGUCAGCCUACAUCCGGGACCCCAUCUGCAGAGUUGAUCAUGUGACAGUCCUGGGCCCUUUGGCUGGUGGUCCCCAAACUUGGAGAGUCCAGAAAUCACCUGGAGGUUCUUGCUAAAGGGUGGAUUUAGGGGAUCACUUCCAGGGCAUCUCAUUCCCUAAGUAGAGAAGAGCUCCCAAGAACCCGCACCUUAGUAAGCACCCCAUGUAGCUCUGAAACAACUAAAUGAGGGAGGGAAGGUGCUGAAGACCUGAUGCCUAAGAUCCGCAUCACCCCGCUCAAGCUCGCCACACUGAAUGAAGCCCCAAGAUGCAUCAGGAUCAAACCACACAGAAGAAACAAACCUGAAAACAGAGUCAGCUCCUUAAAGAUGAGGGACUCCAAGCAGAGG
rnacentral:lncRNA from 1 species